rnacentral:rRNA from 1 species
AUUGAACGCUGGCGGCAUGCUUUACACAUGCAAGUCGAACGGUAACAGGGGAGCUUGCUCCUGCUGACGAGUGGCGAACGGGUGAGUAAUACAUCGGAACGUGCCAAUUAAUGGGGGAUAACUACUCGAAAGAGUGGCUAAUACCGCAUACGCUCUACGGAGGAAAGUGGGGGACUUUAGGGCCUCACGUUAUUUGAGCGGCCGAUGUCUGAUCAGCUAGUUGGUGGGGUAAAGGCCUACCAAGGCGACGAUCAGUAGCGGGUCUGAGAGGAUGAUCCGCCACACUGGGACUGAGACACGGCCCAGACUCCUACGGGAGGCAGCAGUGGGGAAUUUUGGACAAUGGGCGCAAGCCUGAUCCAGCCAUGCCGCGUGUCUGAAGAAGGCCUUCGGUUGUAAGGUAC